UGGGAUAUAGCUCAGUUGGUAGAGUGCUUGUCUUGCAUGCACAAGGCCCUGGGUUCAAUCCCCAGCACCACAC
rnacentral:tRNA from 1 species